rfam:Citrus clementina cultivar Clemenules unplaced genomic scaffold scaffold_7, whole genome shotgun sequence.
UGGGGUGUCGCCAAGUGGUAAGGCAACAGGUUUUGGUCCCAAUAUUCAAAGGUUCGAAUCCUUCCAUCCCAG